GACGAACCGAGCGAACGUUAUUCGGAAUCACUGGGCUUAAAGGGCGCGUAGGCGGGCGGCCAAGUCAGGGGUGAAAGCCCCCAGCUCAACUGGGGAAGUGCCUCUGAUACUGGUCGCCUCGAGGGAGAUAGGGGCGUGCGGAACUUCCGGUGGAGCGGUGAAAUGCGUAGAUAUCGGAAGGAACACCGGUGGCGAAGGCGGGUCUCUGGGCCGAUACUGACGCUGAGGAGCGAAAGCGUGGGGAGCGAACAGG
rnacentral:rRNA from 1 species